rnacentral:rRNA from 1 species
UGCAAGUCGAGCGAAUGGAUUAAGAGCUUGCUCUUAUGAAGUUAGCGGCGGACGGGUGAGUAACACGUGGGUAACCUGCCCAUAAGACUGGGAUAACUCCGGGAAACCGGGGCUAAUACCGGAUAAYAUUUUGAACYGCAUGGUUCGAAAUUGAAAGGCGGCUUCGGCUGUCACUUAUGGAUGGACCCGCGUCGCAUUAGCUAGUUGGUGAGGUAACGGCUCACCAAGGCAACGAUGCGUAGCCGACCUGAGAGGGUGAUCGGCCACACUGGGACUGAGACACGGCCCAGACUCCUACGGGAGGCAGCAGUAGGGAAUCUUCCGCAAUGGACGAAAGUCUGACGGAGCAACGCCGCGUGAGUGAUGAAGGCUUUCGGGUCGUAAAACUCUGUUGUUAGGGAAGAACAAGUGCUAGUUGAAUAAGCUGGCACCUUGACGGUACCUAACCAGAAAGCCACGGCUAACUACGUGCCAGCAGCCGCGGUAAUACGUAGGUGGCAAGCGUUAUCCGGAAUUAUUGGGCGUAAAGCGCGCGCAGGUGGUUUCUUAAGUCUGAUGUG